rnacentral:lncRNA from 1 species
GACGGGCGGGCCCUUCCGGAGGCGCCGCGCCUGGACCGUGGCCGCAGGUUGGGCAGCGCCAGACGCAGAGCCCUGUGCCGCUUGCGUCCCCGGGCUUCCUGCCCGACAAGGACGGGGGGCCGGACAGAGAGCCGUGUCGGCCGAGACCCGAAUCCGGGAUCAGGGGUUCCAGUCUCGAUCAUCAGUGAAGUCCUUCCACAUCCAUGGGGCGUCCACCAACUAGGAGCUUAAUCAACACAACGCUGUGGCCUCUCCAGCUCAGGGACGUGCCUUUCCCGUGUCUUCUUCUCACACACAAACGUAGCCUGCAAGGAAGGUCAGGUUCAAUGCACGGAAUCUACCCUGCUGCCCGCUAGGAGGUCAUAUGUGUAUCACAGACCCGCAGAGAAUGCUCUCCACAGUACAUGAAGCGCGGUACAAAUGGAAUGAGUGUAACGGGCAUUCUCUGUUUGAAAAAAGUUAUCCCAAUUGAAUAGUCGGUAAUUUCUCUUUAUUGUAACCCAAUAGAUCACAAAAUGCAACCUGAGGUUUAAGCUGAGGGGUGGGGCGUUUGCAGAGGGCUGUGUGGUGGAGGUUAGGUUAGGUUUGCAGACGGCUGUGUGGUGGAGGUUAGGUUAGGUUUGCAGAGGACUGUGUGGUGGAGGUUAGGUUAGGUUUACAGAGGGCUGUGUAGUGUGGAGGUUAGGUUAGGUUUGCAGAGGGCUGUGGUGGAGGUUAGGGUCGGUUUGCAGAAGGCUGUGGUGGAGGGUAGGUCACGUUUGUAGAGGGCUGUGUAAUGGAGGUUACGUUAGGUUUACAGAAGGCUGUGUGGUGGAGGUGGGGCCUUCUCCCUGCCCCACGGUGGUCCCAUGCAGCCCGCAAAACACCCAUGUUCGGCACGGGUCCAGUGACCUCAGCAGGGAGGCAGCUCCCUGAUUACAAGACCAACUUUUGUUCUUGGACCAAAGCUGAUUUUGCCUUCUCUGUAGGAUGAUUGCGCAAAAGGUCA